rnacentral:rRNA from 1 species
CGGGUGAGUAACACGUAGGUGACCUACCAGACGGCGGGGGAUAACCAGGAGAAAUUCUGGCUAAUACCGCAUGAGUUGAACGAUUUUGGAAGUAGUUCAAGAAAGGAUGCCUCUCCUUGGAAGCAUUCGCCGUUUUGAUGGGCCUGCGGAACAUUAGCUUGAUGGUGGGGUAACGGCCUACCAUGGCGACGAUGUUUAGCGGAUUUGAGAGAAUGAUCCGUCACACUGGAACUGAGACACGGUCCAGACUCCUACGGGAGGCAGCAGUGGGGAAUAUUGCGCAAUGGACGCAAGUCUGACGCAGCAAUACCGCGUGAGCGAGGAAGGCCUUCGGGUCGUAAAGCUCUGUCAGAGUGGAAAAAUGGGUAGUCAUCUAAUAGGUGAUUGCAUUGAUGGUACACUCAGAGGAAGCACCGGCUAACUUCGUGCCAGCAGCCGCGGUAAUACGAAGGGUGCGAGCGUUGUUCGGAUUUAUUGGGCGUAAAGCGCGCGCAGGCGGAUGUGCAAGUCAGAUGUGAAAUCUCGGGGCUCAACCCCGAAACUGCGUCUGAAACUGCUCAUCUAGAAUCUUGCAGAGGGAAGGGGAAUUUCGCAUGUAGGGGUAAAAUCCGUAGAGAUGCGAAGGAACACCAGAGGCGAAGGCGCCUUCCUGGGCAAGUAUUGACGCUGAGGCGCGAAAGCGUG